rnacentral:rRNA from 1 species
UACGUAGGUGGCAAGCGAUACUCGGAAUCACUAGGCGUAAAGCGCAGGUAGGCGGUUUAGUAAGUCUUUUGUGAAAGCUCCCGGCUUAACUGGGAGAGGUCAAAGGAAACUACUAGGCUAGAGUUUGGUAGGGGAUACUGGAAUUCCUGGUGUAGCGGUGAAAUGCGUAGAUAUCAGGAGGAAUACCUACGGCGAAAGCAGGUAUCUGGGCCACAACUGACGCUGAGCUGCGAAAGCUAGGGGAGCAAACAGG